GCUACUUCUAGAUAUACAUAGUUUUAGAAAAGAAUGCAUACUAACAUUAACGUUUUGAGAAAAUUUAUCAUGAUCACAGAAUCAGAUAUUGCUUAUAUUUUAUAGGGCCUAUCAGAAUGAAGAAACUGAAAUAUUUCCCAUCUAUGCAUCUAGAGGAGGUAGAGACUUCUAAAGGGACAACAUGGCAGAGAUUCCUGUAAGUCUUGGGUUAUUUCUGAGUGCUGGUUAUCGUGGCAUCUGAAAAUGUAAAUAAGUGAUGUACCCUGUGGGGUAGCUCUGCUGCAGGCACCCCGGGGACCUGCUGGUGACCCUGCCCUUCUCCUGCUGCGAUCAUCCCAGGCCAGCGUGACACUCAGCAGCGUGGACGUCUCUCUGCAAACGCCCAAAUGCAGUGUAUGAAAUGUCAUCCCUAGAAAUGGCUUCAUUUGGGAUAAAGCUUUGAACUUGCGUGCGUGCCCCGCACCCCGUGGCGGACUGAGUCACUGCUUUGCUGUUGCGGCGUGGUGAGUAAAACUUUCCCAGGGGAGCCGGAGUUGAGUGAGAAAGGGAUGCAGGACACGCAGGAGCUGACACAUCUCUAUGGAUUUAAGUCGCUGUUUCCACAAAUGCUACUCACAUGCCCACACGUGUAGGGCAGGACUGUCACGCGUCCACUCUGCUCAGCUUUCCAGGCCGGAUCUGGUCCCAGCCAUUCUACCUGACCCAGACUCCCCGCACCCCUGCCAUUCCCCCAGCUGCCGUCCUGUGUCUCCUGAUUUCUGCGUUUUUGAUCCUGAGGCUCUCUGCCUCUCUGCCUCCUCCCUGGAGGCCGUGCAAAUCCUGUUCUCCUUCCAGCGGUGAGUUCCUCCUGCUGACCACCUCCCCCGAUGCCCUCCACGCUGCACACUGGGCUGGUCUGCAGAGGUCGAAUGCACUCCCUGGUGACUUACACAUCUCACAAGUGCCCUCCAUCACCUGCUUGUGAACUCCUGACCACAGCAGCCUACUCCAUGUCCCCCUGUGGAUGCUGCAAUGCCCAGCACCACACUGGUGGCUCAAAGACUGCAUGCCUGAGACGGGGUCCAAACCCCUCUUCAACUGUCCUCCAAGCUUCAGGUCCACCGUGACCUCCCCCAACUCUGCUGCAGCUGCCGUGGUGCCAGCCCCCUGCCCCUCUCCUCCACCUCCAUAGAUCAGGCUUCAGUGUCUGGGGACCUGGGGACUGCUGUCCUCCUUCCCAGCAUGAAGUUCUACUGCAAGGGCCACUCUCCCUGUACAGGCCUUCCUGACCCCUCGUCCCUGGAAAGCCCUCUCCAGGGCCCUCGGCCUCGCUGUCUCACAUCACUCGCCUCCCUACCCCACCUCCCUCCUCGCACCUGGGACGCAGGUGCCCUCCGGUCACACCCUUCCAUCCCGUGUGGUGCUGAGCCCCUCACACACACGAGGGGCCCCGGAAUCACCUGCCACGUGAAUAAACAAAGUCAGAUCUGAAAUGCUUAAAAGCAAAUUAAACUUAACUCAUAAAAGGAGAAGAAAAAUGUUCAUUUAGAAAAGUUGUAUCUGUUUUCUUUCCAAAUAAAUUUACUUGUAGGA
rnacentral:lncRNA from 10 species